GGCUGGUCCAAUGGUAGUGGGUAUCAGAACGUAUUAACAUUAGUGUCACUACAAGUUAGUGUUCAACCCCCCACUGAGGCACUGCUACAUUUGACUGGGAAG
rnacentral:Y_RNA from 1 species